AUUGAACGCUGGCGGCAUGCCUUACACAUGCAAGUCGAACGGCAGCGCGGACUUCGGUCUGGCGGCGAGUGGCGAACGGGUGAGUAAUACAUCGGAACGUACCCUGUUGUGGGGGAUAACUAGUCGAAAGAUUAGCUAAUACCGCAUACGACCUGAGGGUGAAAGUGGGGGACCGCAAGGCCUCACGCAGCAGGAGCGGCCGAUGUCUGAUUAGCUAGUUGGUGGGGUAAAGGCCCAACAAGGCGACGAUCAGUAGCUGGGCUGAGGGGACGAUCAGCCACACUGGGACUGAGACACGGCCCAGACGCCUACGGGAGGCAGCAGUGGGGAAUUUUGGACAAUGGGGGCAACCCUGAUCCAGCAAUGCCGCGUGUGUGAAGAAGGCCUUCGGGUUGUAAAGCACUUUUGUCCGGAAAGAAAUCGCGCUGGUUAAUACCUGGCGUGGAUGACGGUACCGGAAGAAUAAGCACCGGCUAACUACGUGCCAGCCGCCGCGGUAA
rnacentral:rRNA from 1 species